UCGAGAAUUUUUCUCAAUGGGGGAAACCCUGAAGGAGCGACGCCGCGUGAAGGAUGAAGGUCUUCGGAUCGUAAACUUCUGUCAUUGGGGAGCAAAGUAUUGGGGAGUAACUGCCCUGGUAUUGAUAGUACCUGAAGAGGAAGGGACGGCUAACUCUGUGCCAGCAGCCGCGGUAAUACAGAGGUCCCGAGCGUUGUUCGGAUUCAUUGGGCGUAAAGGGUGCGUAGGCGGCGCCGCAAGUCAGAUGUGAAAGCCUGGGGCUCAACCCCAGAAGCGCAUUUGAAACUGCGGUGCUAGAGGACUGGAGAGGAGACUGGAAUUCACGGUGUAGCAGUGAAAUGCGUAGAUAUCGUGAGGAAGGCCAGUGGCGAAAGCGGGUCUCUGGACAGGUUCUGACGCUGAGGCACGAAGGCUAGGGGAGCAAACGGGAUUAGAUACCCCCGUAGUCC
rnacentral:rRNA from 1 species